CCCCAGCGCCACAAGUGGGAACCACGCUUAUUGGGUCUAAAGCAUCCGUAGCCGGUUCUGCAAAUGCCCUGUGAAAUCGUUGCGCUCAACGUAACGACGUGCAGGGUAGACUACAGAACUAGGGACCAGAGGAAGUAGACGGUAUUCCUGAGGGAGCGGUAAAAUGUGAUAAUCUCAGGAGGACCACCGAUGGCGAAGGCAGUCUACUAAUAUGGAUCCGACGGUGAGGGAUGAAAGCUAGGGGAGCGAU
rnacentral:rRNA from 1 species